ensembl:lncRNA
GAGUGGUCGGAUAUGAGGAGGUAUUUAGGAGGAGAGUGGCUGCCUUCUCCUCCUCUCUUUUGCUUUUCUGCCUGCUGAUAUUUGGGGUCGAGCUGAGGUCGAGUUAGGAUAACUCAGCGGCUCUGUGGCUCCAGGCGACUGUUAACCUGAUGGUUUUUCCCCAAACUGUGAAGGAAACAGUGGAAGGAAGGAAGGAAGGAAGGAAGAAGUCUCUUUUGCGUUUUUUCUUCCUUUCUGUCUCUAUUUUUAUAUGUUUAUCUUGGCUUUUUCUAUUUUUUCUCUUCAUCUUUCUCUCUGAACAUCAUUUUUGCUUUCUUUGUUCCUCCUUCACCUCCUCCUCUUCAUCCUCCUCUCAGUAGAUGGAAGAGGAUGAAUUCAUUGUUUUGUUUUGGGUUUUUUUCCUAAGAAGUCCUCAUCUUCAUCCUGCAGUCCCAGAUUAGCUUUCACUUCUUUAAAGUUUUUGUUUUUGUUUUGUUUUUUAUUUACUGAUGGAAGCUGCUAAAUGAAUAAUGAAGUACAUUUCCAGACAGGCAGCUUUAGAAAGCCUAUACUUUACAUUACAGCUGAUGUAACGCUAUUGAAUUAUUUGGGACGCAAAAUAAAAUAUUAGCUGUCUAAAAUAACGUGAUUAAUAUUUCUAUAAUUAAUAUAUUAGUUUUCAGAUAUAUAUCCACAUUCAGGCAAAUAGAUAGUGAGACGAAAGGUUGAGCCCAAAAAGCACCACACUUCUGUUAAGUCUAUUCAUUGUUGUUUUAGAUCUCUUUCUAGACAUUUGUAUCUUUUGUGGUUGUUUUGUAUCUUUUUAUGGACAUUUUCCGUCUUCUAUCUUUUUCAUCUUUCUGGAUCUCUUGAAUGUCUUUUUUGUUACAGUCAUUUUUCCAUCUUUUCUUUGUGGCUACUUUCUAACUCUUUCUAUUAUGGUCGUUAUACCGUCUUAUGGUCAUUUUCUUUUUGUGGUCCUUUUUAUCUAUUUCUGUUCAUUUUCUGUAUCUUUGUAGUACUUUUUCAUCUUUGUUGUCAUUUUAUAUGUCCUUAUGGUAAUUCUGCCUUUCUUUUGCAUAAAUUUUUUGUGGUCAAUUUGCCUAAAUUUGUCAUCAUUUGAUGUCUCUUUGUUUUAUGGUCAUUUUUUGCCUUUUUGUGGUCCUUUUUUAUCUCUGUGUUUUAACUCUCUUCAUCUUUGUUGUCAUUUUAUAUCUAUUUACAGUCAUUUUGCCUUUCAAUUUCUUGUUUUUUUAUCUCUUUGUGAUCAUUUUGCAUCGCUUUCUGAUCAUUUUCUGUUUAUUUCAUUUUGUGCCAUUUUCUGGUCUUUUUUUUAUUUCUUUAUGGUCAUUUUUAACUUAUUUUUAUUCAUUUUGUGUCUCUUUUUGUUCCAUUCUUCAUCAAUUACAGUGUUGAGUUUAGCAUUAAACCAACAGCUCCACAAGGAUAAACAACAACUUCAGGGUCUUGUGUUUUCAGUAAAAUUCUAUUAACUAUUUUUUUUUUAAACUCUUUUUUUCAGGUGACACUUGAAGCCCAGGCACCAGAUAAACUAAUUACGCAAUAUUACAUUUAGCCAUUACUGUUGCACAUGCAGGUUUAUUGUUGCACUGAUUCUUCAUGUUGGGCUCCAUGUUUUCAUGUGUUUCCUGUCCAUCUGUUUAUUCCCUGUACAAAGCUGUUUGCUCAGUCAAUCGUGGCUCCUGAAGGAGGGUGCCGGCUCAAAUUAACUCACAUUUUUGCUCCUACGCCCCUGGGUGCUCUCAGCUCUGGGCAGCAGCGUUGGAUGGAUUUGUAGAUCGUUUCACGGGCCAUUAAUUUUUAAAAUGGGUUUGCGGUCAGGGCAGAGUGAGGUGAGUGACUAAUACCAGGAUGUCAGGCAGCGGAUCAGGGGAGCAGGCACCAAUGGUUAGUAAGGGCAUAACAAGCCUGUAAAACCAAAGAUGAAGCUUUCAGAAAUGAGUGUGGUGCAUCUUGGGAUGUAAGCUGUAAACAUGCAUCUUC